rnacentral:lncRNA from 1 species
AUGCAUGCUGGGCUAUAAUUUAUGAAACGGAGCCCAGGAAACAACCAAUCGUUCAGCUUCUCCUAACAAGUCCAACUGGCUAUGAAAAGCUGGAAGUGCUGCACAGAACAAUGAAGAGGAGCUAUCCCACAUAUUAAUCUGCUUAUCUAGGAUUGCCUUCUGUGUAGAGGGAGGGAAGCAUGUAAAAAGGAAAGGGCAAAAAAAAGGAAAAAUCAGAGUUUCAUUUGUUAAAAGAACAGAAUAAAUUCCAGUCAACAUGAAAAUCCCCCAUUGCAGUUAGAUGGC